rnacentral:tRNA from 4 species
GGGCAGGUGGCGAAAUUGGCAGCCGCGUUAGCCUUAGGAGCUAAUGCUCGAAAGAGCUUGUGGGUUCAAAUCCCACCCUGCCCACCA